CUGGAGCUCGCCACCGUCGUCAAGGGCGGGCUCUGGGAGGAGGUGCAGGGGCUCGUCGGGGAGAGGAGGCUCUGGUGACGACCUCACUCUCACUGCUGCCGUGGGGCGUUCAAUCUUCAAUGUAAUUAUUAUGAGAUCGAUCGAUCGAUCGACUUGCAAGUCAAACCAAUGCAUCCAUCCAUUUCGAAAACAUUCUGCGUCGGGCAUUUAUUGUUUUUUUUUCUCUCUCUCGUUGCAAUACAACGCAUCAUAGGCAUGAUCAACAAACUAAUAAAAAAA
rnacentral:lncRNA from 1 species